GUGGUAUAUGAGUGCAAUGAGACAGACUCUCCAUCCAAGUAACAAUUUAUAGAGGUAAAUCAUUGUAGGUAAAAAAAAACAGCCUUCAACACGGAGCCUUGGUUCACACCGAACAACAAGCUACACGUUCAUAAAAGAUGAAUUUUAUUACAAAGGAUAAUCAUCAUGAAUUAUACUGGAAUUGUCCUUUGACCUCACUGAUAUUAAUAUG
rnacentral:lncRNA from 1 species